rnacentral:rRNA from 1 species
AGUUCGGAUCGCAGUCUGCAACUCGACUGCGUGAAGUCGGAAUCGCUAGUAAUCGCGGAUCAGCAUGCCGCGGUGAAUACGUUCCCGGGCCUUGUACACACCGCCCGUCACACCAUGAGAGUCGGGAACACCCGAAGUCCGUAGCCUAACCGCAAGGAGGGCGCGGCCGAAGGUGGGUUCGAUAAUUGGGGUGAAGUCGUAACAAGGUAAC